rnacentral:rRNA from 1 species
GUGACACUAUACGCAGACUCGCGCAGAAACGGUAUCUGUCGCUACCAUUCGGGCGGUGGCGAGCGGAUUGCGGAGCUUGCUCCCGAUGAGAGUGGCGCACGGGUGCGUAACACGUAUGCAACCUACCUUUACCAGGGGGAUAGCCUCUCGAAAGAGAGAUUAACACCGCAUAACAUUGAGCUAUGGCAUCAUAGUUUAAUCAAAUAUUUAUAGGGUAAAGAUGGGCAUGCGGAACAUUAGCUAGUUGGUAAGGUAACGGCUUACCAAGGCGACGAUGUUUAGGGGAUCUGAGAGGAUGACCCCCCACACUGGUACUGAGACACGGACCAGACUCCUACGGGAGGCAGCAGUAAGGAAUAUUGGUCAAUGGGCGCAAGCCUGAACCAGCCAUGCCGCGUGCAGGAAGACGGCCCUACGGGUUGUAAACUGCUUUUGUACGGGAAUAAACCUCUCUACGUGUAGAGAGCUGAAUGUACUGUAAGAAUAAGGAUCGGCUAACUCCGUGCCGACCGCCGCUGUUUAACAAA